rnacentral:rRNA from 1 species
CCUACGGGAGGCAGCAGUGGGGAAUAUUGCGCAAUGGGCGAAAGCCUGACGCAGCGACGCCGCGUGAGGGAUGAAGGUCUUCGGAUCGUAAACCUCUGUCAGCAGGGAAGAACGGUCACUGUGCUAAUCAGCAGUGAAUUGACGGUACCUGCAAAGGAAGCACCGGCUAACUCCGUGCCAGCAGCCGCGGUAAUCCGGAGGGUGCGAGCGUUAAUCGGAAUUACUGGGCGUAAAGCGCUCGUAGGCGGUAUGUCAAGUCAAGGGUGAAAUCCCCGCGCUCAACGUGGGAACUGCCUUUGAAACUGGCAAACUGGAGUGUGUGAGAGGAUAGUGGAAUUCCAGGUGUAGGAGUGAAAUCCGUAGAUAUCGGGAGGAACAUCAGUGGCGAAGGCGACUAUCUGGAACAUAACUGACGCUGAGGAGCGAAAGCGUGGGUAGCAAACAGGAUUAGAUACCCUUGUAGUC